GCGGGCGUAGUUCAGUGGCUAGAACGUCUCGUUGCCAACGAGAAGGUCGUGGGUUCAAGUCCCAUCGCCCGCU
rnacentral:tRNA from 1 species